UUUGUAUUCCUUUUCAUUCUCAUUCAUACCCAAUUUUCCACAGCUAAACAAAUUAAAAAGAAAAUUUGAAUAUUAUACUGCAAGUAUAUGUUGUUAAGAUAAAAUUUGAAUAUUAUACUAAAAGCAUUUAUAAAAUAACUUCACUGUCUUCCCGAUGGGCUUCCCAUGAGCUGGACCGAUCAUAAUUCCACUUUGGGAGCUUCUUUAGACAUCCACCAGACCUGCAAGUGUUUUCCCACAAAAAAAACAAAUAAACUUAAAUAGUUUGAGCAUAAAUCAAUAACUAAAACUCAAAUAUUAAGCUUAAAAAAACAUGAAGCACUAUCGACCCGUAACGCCUUGUUCAAGAAGCUUUUGGGCCACAAGGUGAUGAGAAUUAUUAAAAUAAAAUUAAUAUAAACACUUGAAAAGCUGAAAGUAAGCAAUAACACAAAAGUAGACCAGAAUUACUACCAUGGUUGAAUAACGACACAAGUUGCUGGAUUGCCCUCUUUUUUCUGAUGUG
rnacentral:lncRNA from 1 species